rnacentral:ncRNA from 2 species
UCAGAUCUAACGGGGUGCAAUGGAGUCUGCCAUUGCUGAGAGGCCAAAGCGCCAACCCGCGGAACCUGAUCCGGCUAACACCGGCGGAGGGAUUAGAUGCGCUGCUGUC